UAUUUUUGUUAUACUUUUUCACACCCUAGGGAGCUACCAUUUGUCUUUAUGGGGGGGGGCGCUAGGAUGAAAUUUGAUAAAAAUAGGCAGGACAGGUGUUUUUGAGUAAAAAAAAAGGCAGGAUGAGACACUUGCAAAAAAAAAAGUCAGGACGACAAUUUAGGUAAAAAAAAGUCAGGAUAAACUAUAAAAAAAAAGGCAGGACCGAACAGAGUGAAAAAUAAAAAGGCAGGACAGAGAUUACAGCUAAAAAAAAAUGCAGGACAAAAUUUUUCAUCCUAGCCCCCCCCCCCCCCAUUUAAAAAUCAAAUGGUAGCUCCCUUACUUUAGAGACGGUCACAAGCAGUCCCAUGCAAUCCUUCAAAUAAAAAGAGCUGAGAAAUACAGAAAAUAACACUAUAUUUCAUUGUCC
rnacentral:lncRNA from 1 species